ensembl:lncRNA
GUGUGUGUGUGUGGGGUAGAGGGAGAGGGUGUGUGUGUGUGGCAGAGAGAGAGGGUGUGUGUGUGUGUGGGGCAGAGGGAGAGGGUGUGUGUGUGUGUGGGGUCUGGUGUGUGUGUGUGUGUGGGGCAGAGGGAGAGGGUGUGUGUGUGUGUGUGGGGGCAGAGGGAGAGGGUGUGUGUGUGUGUGUGGGGGGGGCAGAGGGAGAGGGUGUGUGUGUGUGUGUGGGGGGGGCAGAGGGAGAGGGUGUCCAGUGUUUUUUCCAGUAGCUGAUGCUUGUAUGUGGGCAGUGGCAGGAAACAUUUCACAGCAGACUGAGGUGUGUGUGUGUGAGUGUAUGAGUGUGA